GUGGGGAAUCUUAGACAAUGGGGGAAACCCUGAUCUAGCCAUGCCGCGUGAUCGAUGAAGGCCUUAGGGUUGUAAAGAUCUUUCAGGUGGGAAGAUAAUGACUGUACCACCAGAAGAAGCCCCGGCUAACUCCGUGCCAGCAGCCGCGGUAAUACGGAGGGGGCUAGCGUUGUUCGGAAUUACUGGGCGUAAAGCGCACGUAGGCGGAUUGGAAAGUUGGGGGUGAAAUCCCGGGGCUCAACCCCGGAACUGCCUUCAAAACUCCCAGUCUUGAGUUCGAGAGAGGUGAGUGGAAUUCCGAGUGUAGAGGUGAAAUUCGUAGAUAUUCGGAAGAACACCAGUGGCGAAGGCGACUCACUGGCCCGUUACUGACGCUGAGGCGCGAAAGCGUGGGGAGCAAACAGGAUUAGAAACCCGGGUAGUCC
rnacentral:rRNA from 1 species